GACGAACGCUGGCGGCGUGCUUAACACAUGCAAGUCGAACGGAAAGGCCCUGCUUUUGUGGGGUGCUCGAGUGGCGAACGGGUGAGUAACACGUGAGUAACCUGCCCUUGACUUUGGGAUAACUUCAGGAAACUUGGGCUAAUACCGGAUAGGAGCUCCUGCUGCAUGGUGGGGGUUGGAAAGUUUCGGCGGUUGGGGAUGGACUCGCGGCUUAUCAGCUUGUUGGUGGGGUAGUGGCUUACCAAGGCUUUGACGGGUAGCCGGCCUGAGAGGGUGACCGGCCACAUUGGGACUGAGAUACGGACCAGACUCCUACGGGAGGCAGCAGUGGGGAAUAUUGCACAAUGGGCGGAAGCCUGAUGCAGCAACGCCGCGUGCGGGAUGACGGCCUUCGGGUUGUAAACCGCUUUCGCCUGUGACGAAGCGUGAGUGACGGUAAUGGGUAAAGAAGCACCGGCUAACUACGUG
rnacentral:rRNA from 1 species